AUGGAGACCUGUACUCUUGGGACAUGCAUUUUUUAAUGAGCAGCCUGUAUGAAUAUAUGGUCCUGGUACGUUUAUCAAUUUGUAGUUCCAUGGAUGUCAGAUCCCCAAAACCUCUGCAUAAAUUUUAAGAUCUUUGUCUACCAUCACAUGUGAAAGCAGAGAAGUUAUACACCACAAUUACUAGAACGUUUCAACAGCUGAAAAGCAUUUGGAAGUCACAUCCAGAAACAUCCGGACACCUGUGUUACCACCUGUCUCCACUCUGACUUAGGUAGAAAGUCCCUCCAAGUAGUUGUUUCUCAACAGAGCAAGAUCAGGUCAGUAAGUCUCUUCACAGUAUCAAAAGCUGUGAGCACUAAAAGCUAAACUGUGAGGUGAAGACUCUUCACAGGAUGGAUAUUUUAUAUUUUUAUAUAAUGUGGUACAUAUAACUGAAAGGAACCUCAAAUGAUAACAUUGUGAAUUAUGACAAGAUGCUGGUUCUUCUAGCUACUGACAGGCAUUUCACUGUGAUGACCAGGUGGCUGAGAAGCACUAUGUCUGUGUCAAUGUUUCCUGUUGCUGCAGGAGUUCUGUCCAGUGACUUUCACAUCACAGGGAAGUGA
rnacentral:lncRNA from 1 species